CAGGGGGCGGGCCUUGGCUCUCCGCGGCCGUGGCAGAGCUGGCACGACGAGUUCCCAGGGUGUCACCCCUGGGCGAACUGCGAGGCCUGCCCACUCCCACUGCGCAGUGGCCGCUCGUCCGAUGCAGUGUGCGGCGGCUCCUUCCCGGGAAACGAGACAGGGGGGCAGCGCUACGGAUGGUCCCCGCCUCCUCCGCCCGCUCCGCCCUGUUCCCUCCCCGGAGCCCACCCGAGCCCAGGCGCGGCCGGCCGUAGACACAGCCAGCUCCUGAUCCCGGACCGCGAGCGGUAGCGCCCUCCCUCCCAGCUGUUGUCCCGCCCGAUCCGCGACCCUAGUCCCCGGAUCCCCUUGCUGAGAGUCACCGUACUCCAGGGCCAACUGAGCCAAAGUCCUGCCAACUUGGGUCAGCAAUGAAAGGCAGGAUCCCGGGUGGUGGCCCUGAAUCCUGAUUUGUCUGCCCUGCCAGCGAGACACAUGUGGUCAAAGAUGAAUUUGAGAAAAGUAGCUGCUGGCUACUUGAACAAUGGAGGAACACGGCCAUCAUGAGAUGGAAGGCACCCCAUUGGGUUGUCACUCCCACAUUAAACUGCUGAAGAUCAACAGGGAACAUCUGGUCACCAACAUUCGGAACACUCAGUGUCUGGUGGACAACUUGCUGGAGAAUGGCUACUUCUCAGCCGAAGAUGCAGAGAUUGUGUGUGCCUGUCCCACCAAGCCUGACAAGGUCCGAAAGAUCCUUGACCUGGUGCAGAGCAAAGGCGAGGAGGUGUCUGAGUUCUUCCUCUACGUGCUGCAGCAGCUGGAGGAUGCUUACGUGGACCUCAGGCUGUGGCUCUCAGAAAUUGGCUUCUCCCCUUCCCAGCUCAUUCGGACCAAAACUAUCGUCAAUACUGACCCAGUAAGCAGGUAUACCCAACAGCUGCGACACCAACUGGGCCGCGACUCCAAGUUCAUGCUGUGCUACGCCCAGAAGGAGGACCUGCUGCUGGAGGAGACCUAUAUGGACACACUCAUGGAGCUGGUAGGCUUCAACAAUGAAAACCUGGGCAGCCUAGGAGGCCUGGAUUGCCUGCUGGACCACAGUACGGGCGUCCUCAACGAGCAUGGCGAGACUGUCUUCGUGUUCGGGGACGCGGGAGUGGGCAAGUCCAUGCUGCUGCAGAGGUUGCAGAGCCUCUGGGCGUCAGGCAGGUUGACCUCCACAGCCAAAUUCUUCUUCCACUUCCGCUGCCGCAUGUUCAGCUGCUUCAAGGAGAGCGACAUGCUGAGUCUGCAGGACCUGCUCUUCAAGCAUUUCUGCUACCCGGAGCAGGACCCCGAGGAGGUGUUCUCCUUCUUGCUGCGCUUUCCCCACACAGCGCUCUUCACUUUUGACGGCCUGGAUGAGCUGCACUCAGACUUCGACCUGAGCCGCGUGCCGGAUAGCUGCUGCCCCUGGGAGCCGGCUCACCCUCUGGUCCUGCUGGCUAACCUCCUAAGUGGGAGGCUGCUCAAGGGUGCCGGCAAAUUGCUCACUGCUCGCACAGGCGUGGAGGUCCCCCGCCAGCUCCUGCGCAAAAAGGUGCUGCUCCGGGGCUUCUCCCCAAGUCACCUGCGCGCCUAUGCCCGCCGGAUGUUCCCCGAGCGCACAGCGCAGGAGCAUCUGCUGCAGCAGCUGGAUGCCAACCCCAACCUCUGCAGCCUGUGCGGGGUGCCGCUCUUCUGUUGGAUCAUCUUCCGUUGUUUCCAGCACUUCCAGACGGUCUUCGAGGGCUCCUCUUCACAGUUGCCGGACUGUGCUGUGACCCUGACCGAUGUCUUUCUGCUGGUCACUGAGGUGCAUCUGAACAGGCCGCAGCCCAGCAGCCUGGUGCAGCGCAACACGCGCAGCCCGGCGGAAACCCUACGUGCAGGCUGGCGCACGCUGCAUGCGCUGGGAGAGGUGGCUCACCGAGGCACCGACAAGAGCCUCUUUGUGUUUGGCCAGGAGGAGGUGCAGGCGUCGAAGCUGCAGGAAGGAGAUCUGCAGCUGGGCUUCCUGCGGGCUUUGCCCGAUGUGGGCCCUGAGCAGGGCCAGUCUUACGAAUUUUUCCACCUUACGCUCCAGGCCUUCUUCACCGCCUUCUUCCUGGUAGCAGAUGACAAAGUGAGCACCCGGGAGUUGCUGAGGUUCUUUCGAGAAUGGACGUCUCCUGGAGAGGCAACAAGCUCGUCCUGCCAUUCUUCCUUCUUCUCCUUCCAGUGCCUGGGCGGCAGAAGCCGGUUGGGCCCUGAUCCUUUCAGGAACAAAGAUCACUUCCAGUUCACCAACCUCUUCCUGUGCGGGCUACUGGCCAAAGCCCGACAGAAACUCCUUCGGCAGCUGGUGCCCAAGGCUAUCCUGAGGAGGAAGCGCAAGGCCCUGUGGGCUCACCUGUUUGCUAGCCUGCGCUCCUACUUGAAGAGCCUACCUCGGGUCCAGUCUGGAGGCUUUAACCAGGUGCAUGCCAUGCCCACAUUCCUGUGGAUGCUGCGCUGCAUCUAUGAGACGCAGAGCCAGAAGGUGGGGCGCCUCGCCGCCAGGGGCAUCAGUGCGGACUACCUCAAGCUGGCCUUUUGCAACGCUUGCUCUGCGGACUGCAGCGCCCUGUCCUUCGUCCUGCAUCACUUCCACAGGCAGCUGGCCCUAGACCUGGACAACAACAACCUCAAUGACUAUGGCGUGCAGGAGCUGCAGCCUUGCUUUAGCCGUCUCACGGUUAUCAGACUCAGCGUCAACCAGAUCACCGACACGGGGGUGAAGGUGCUAUGUGAGGAACUGACCAAGUAUAAGAUCGUGACGUUCCUGGGUUUAUACAACAACCAGAUAACUGAUAUCGGAGCCAGGUAUGUGGCCCAAAUCCUGGAUGAAUGCAGAGGCCUCAAGCACCUUAAGUAAACUAGGGAAAAACAGAAUAACAAGUGAGGGCGGGAAGUGUGUGGCUUUGGCUGUGAAGAACAGCACCUCCAUCGUUGAUGUUGGGAUGUGGGGUAAUCAGAUUGGAGACGAAGGGGCAAAGGCCUUCGCAGAGGCAUUGAAGGACCACCCCAGCCUGACCACUCUCAGUCUUGCAUUCAAUGGCAUCUCUCCGGAGGGAGGGAAGAGCCUUGCGCAGGCCCUGAAGCAGAACACCACACUGACAGUAAUCUGGCUGACCAAAAAUGAACUUAAUGAUGAGUCUGCAGAGUGCUUCGCUGAGAUGCUGAGAGUGAACCAGACGCUACGGCAUUUAUGGCUGAUCCAGAAUCGCAUCACAGCCAAGGGGACAGCGCAGCUGGCGAGGGCACUGCAGAAGAACACAGCCAUAACAGAGAUUUGUCUCAAUGGAAACUUGAUUAAGCCCGAGGAGGCCAAAGUCUUCGAGAAUGAGAAGAGAAUCAUCUGCUUCUGACGGACGCUCCUGGGCAGGAUCUUUGUCCUAGGUUGCUCCUCAGUCACAGACAGCACUGUGCAGUCAGCAGGGUAGCAGGAUGCUGUGCAGCGCCUGCAGCAAGGUGCCUGUCAGGAGCCCACACCUCCACAGUGCACACCGAUGUCCCCUGCUCAUGCUUGGACUGGUAGCACCCGCGCCGCGGCUGAGACCCUGCAGACGCAGGGAGUCUUAGGAACCAUCGUCACCACUCAAAGCCAGCAGGGCAUCUUCUGUACAAAGAUCUCCCUGCAUAUCCACUAGACGGAAGCUGAAGGAACGCAACAGCAGAGGAGGCCAACAGACGCCUGGCUGAAGGCUCCGUGGGACCAACGGUGUCACCUUCAGAAAAGAGCUGGGAACUUGAGCAGAGCCGAUGGUAACUUCUUGGGGAAAGAAGGCACCCAGUGACUGCAUGGUUAUUCUGAGUCCUCCUUCCUCUGCUUAGUCCCUCUCACUGUACAGGUCUGUUUCUUCCUCGCAGCUGUGGCUGCUGAAGUAGGUCCACUGUGGGGAGAGCUCAUCACAGACUUUGGUUCGGUUCUGGAUUCUCAGUGGUGGCAACCGAGAGUCAGACGAUACCCUCUAGGUCAGUCUCAGAGGAUCUCUAUGCUGUGAGAGGGUUGAGGGCCCACCCAGAAUUUUUUUUUUUUACCAGUUUUUACUGUGCCUGCCCCAGGAGGGAGAAUUACUUCCCAGCCUCCACAGCAGCAGGCAUGGCUUGCCUCAAUGGUCCUGAGAUCCCAACAAAACUCUCUCCCUUGCCUGUGAGCAGAAAGUAUCUUCAUGUCCUCAGAAGUUGGAGGGUGACUGGACACAGUUAAGACUCAGAGAGCCAGCUGAUAGCUCAAAGCAAAGCAUGGCACAUACCCACCACCAUACCAUGGUGCGCAUGGGAUGGGACAGUUGGAAUGUUGCAGAUAACGUGUUCUUUUGCCAGUUCAUUUGUUAAUAAAAUAUUUAAAACGUU